UAAAACAUAAGCAUUAGACAAAAAACAUUAAAACAUAUAAGCUGCGAUCUUCUUUGAGAACCCUAGCCCCCUUCUUUCUCAUUCUCCGAUUUGUUCAUACAAGCUCCGAUGCUGGUUGAGUAAAAGCUCAUACAAGCUCCUAUGGUCAAUUAGAAGGUCAUACAAGCUCUGAUUUGUUUCCUUUAGAGUUUCGAUUGUUUGAUUUGCUGGUACAAACUCAUAAAACCUCCGGUUUUCUUAGGUGGGUAAAUUUUUUCGAUGGGGUCAUGUGGGUGUAAGAGGGUCAAGUGGGUUUCGACCGGACUUUAAAGCUUGAAGUUCAAGUGGGUUUCAAUUGGAGUUUGCAGUUUUUGUUUGUGAUUGGAGUUUGGAUGUUUGGGUUUUGUUUAGUAGCGAGGCUAUAAAGGAGGAGCUGUCUUCUUUAGAAUUGCGGCGAGAAGAAGAGCUUGAUGCACACAAUGCUGCCAAGAUGGUUACUAGACUUGUAAAAGAAGAUCACCGGUGAUUGCACUGAAUGUGGCAUUCUCACUGCUUCAUAUGGGUACAUACGGGGGCAUGAAGGGAAAAGUAUAUGUAGCUCGUACAUUCAUGAGGUAUAAAAACUAAUUUAUUAUUUCUUUUUAUCAUAUAUAUUUGCUUAUGCUUCUCCCAUCAGCUUUGAUUAGAUACAGAACCUAACUAGAUGGGGAGGUGCACUACAAUUAUGUUUUGAUUCUCUAUAUUUGCUACCCACCCAUAGUAGAAUAAGUGUUGCGUCUACGGAAAAUGGCUACUAAAAUUAGUGUAGGAGUUGAUGUUUGCAUGGUUAAUGAAAGAGGCUUCUAUUUCAACCUUGCAGAAGUUCAGAAACCUCUUUAUGCUAAUAGGACUAAUUUAAAAGUAUGAAUGGGUCAUGUGCACAAGUCUAUUAAACUACACUUAUGCAGAUGAAAAUAUAGAAUGCGGCUUUUAGUCACUUUAGAACGAGGAGGAUGGGAAUGCAGCUGCUCAACAUAGUGAUGAAUGAAGAUUUUUAGUCAUUUUUUAUUUUUACUUCUUCAUAUAUUCUUGCUUUUAGAUUGACUUUUGUAAGGAUGGUUUAUAAAUUGGUACAUUAGUCCGGUUUCUAUGUAUCUUUCAACUUGAUGACUCGAUUUGUACUUUGUAUUUUCUUUUGGUUAAUUUCAAGUCAAGAAAAUUUCAGAGUA